CCCCGCGUGGCCCUGCUCCUCCUGCGCCCUCCACAGUUGGUGGAUUGCUGCUUUGUUCUUCAUACAUGCCAGUAAACCAUUGUCCUCAUGGAAAAGACAGUCAACAACAGUUCUUUGAGGAGAGGGUGAAAACUUACCUGAAAUGUCCUCAAGUGCUGCAUCAAUGUUUGUUCCAGCACGUGACACAACUGGACAAAAAGCCAGAAUGAAAUCACACUCCUCCGGUGAGAAGACCUCAGUCAGACCCUUUUUUUUCUCACAGAGCUGAUUCUUAAACUGCUCAUGAGCAUUCAGAGUUUUUCCAUAAGUUUUGAUGGAGAAUUUUAACACUCUGGAACCUUUUGGGGACAUCUUCCCUACAUGAAAAUAAUCAUUCAGCAAUGUUAAGCUAUGACAUCUUCUUUUUAUCCACUUACUGAGUACUUCUGUGGAGUCUUUUAAAACAAUAAAAGAUACAAAGCAUGGAGAUUAUUUCUUUGAACAUGAGACUACCUUUAUCCUGU